rnacentral:lncRNA from 1 species
UUGGAGGGCGCCAGCUUUGCUGUGCUUGUGGCGGCUUUCUGCUUGACGCUGCUGUUCCUCUACUUCUGGGGCCAAGCCAAGAACGACUACAAUGACUUUGACUGGUUUAACUUUGGGAACCUGGGCUUCUGGUUCCCGUGGUCUGUGGUGCUGCUGGCUGUCGCUGUGGUCUUCUUCACCUACGUCACAGUGCUUGUGCUGCUGGCUGUGUGCUUGCUGUCAGAGGGCCAGAAGCUUUAUUUACACUGGAGUCACAAGAUCGGGAUCCUGGUGAGCC